GUGGCCGGCCGCCCCCUCCCCGUCACGAGAGCCCGAGUCUCCGCGAUCAUGUCGGGAAGGAGGGUCACAGGCUGAAGUGACCUCGCGGGACACUCACCUAUAGCGGUGCGCGCCGCUGAGACGAUGACCACGGGGUCUGAGCCCGCAUUCAUCUUGUCGCUCUGGUCUCUGCUAGCUCUCAGCCUUGUCCUGUCUGCGACUGAGGUAAAACUUCCUCCAGCCUGACAGGCUGUGCUGGGGGGGGCGGAGCUAUGGCCUCCACGCCACGCCUCCUCACGCCUGCGCAGGAAGCUGGUAGGGCUAAGUCCCAGAAUUGUGUAAGAUGGAGACUCUUUGGUUUGGUAUGGGGUAGAUGGUGUCUACCCAACCUAGGUGUGUCGGGUUAGGGUGGGGUGUGGAGGAUCCAGGGAUGUUGGGUUGGAGGUAGACAGCCUAGGGGUGUCGAAGAGCGAUGCGGUGUGCAGACGGUCUAGGGGUCAUAGGUGGAGUCGGGUCCAAGGGUAAGGCUUUCCUCCAGGUGACACUGGAACCUAGCCUAACCUUUCCUACAUAGGCAUCUCCCGUUUCUUCUGAAGGUUCUUCUCAGCGCUGACAGCUUCUGAGUGGGUAGCCUCCUUGCUAACAGAGAUCCUUAGGGCAGUGGAUCUCUACUGUCCAAUCCUCUCGGACUUAUUAUUCAGCCAAAGACAGAAUCUGCCAGACUCUACUUACCUCUCUGCCUUGUGUCAUUCUCAUGCCUUUUGCAGGCUCCCUCUGGCCACCCCCCAGUCCCAGCCCUAGCACUAUCACAGGUCACCUGCAGUGUCCCCAGUGUUUUGAAAGGAGAGUCAUCCUGGUUUGCUUCUGCAGCUUGCUGGUCUACAGAGAAUGCCAUCUGUUUAGGAAAGCAGAAUCCUGUGGUGGAAGGAAAGGCUUUCUAGGCAAGUCUUGCCCUCAGUGGGGACAGUGGACAGUGAAGUAAGAGAACUGCGCCACAGAUUGUAGGAAAGGAAAACAAACCUAACAACAACAACCCGGUAAGCUGGGAUAUCCUCCUGAAAUGUAAAGC
rnacentral:lncRNA from 1 species